ACUCGAGUGGCGAACGGGUGAGUAACACGUGGGUGAUCUGCCCUGCACUUCGGGAUAAGCCUGGGAAACUGGGUCUAAUACCGGAUAGGAGCCAUUUUUAGUGUGAUGGUUGGAAAGUUUUUCGGUGUAGGAUGAGCUCGCGGCCUAUCAGCUUGUUGGUGGGGUAAUGGCCUACCAAGGCGGCGACGGGCAGCCGGCCUGAGAGGGUGGACGGCCACAUUGGGACUGGGAUACGGCCCAG
rnacentral:rRNA from 1 species